rnacentral:rRNA from 1 species
GACGAACGCUGGCGGCGUGCCUAAUACAUGCAAGUCGAACGCUUUGAUUUUCACCGGAGCUUGCUCCACCGAAAAUCAAAGAGUGGCGGACGGGUGAGUAACACGUGGGCAACCUGCCCAACAGAGGGGGAUAACACUUGGAAACAGGUGCUAAUACCGCAUAAUUUGUUUUCCCGCAUGGGAGAAUAAUAAAAGACGCUUCAGUGUCACUGUUGGAUGGGCCCGCGCUGCAUUAGUUAGUUGGUGGGGUAAUGGCCUACCAAGACCGUGAUGCAUAGCCGACCUGAGAGGGUGAUCGGCCACACUGGGACUGAGACACGGCCCAGACUCCUACGGGAGGCAGCAGUAGGGAAUCUUCGGCAAUGGACGAAAGUCUGACCGAGCAACGCCGCGUGAGUGAAGAAGGUUUUCGGAUCGUAAAACUCUGUUGUUAGAGAAGAACAAGUGGGAGAGUAACUGUUCCCACCUUGACGGUAUCUAACCAGAAAGCCACGGCUAACUACGUGCCAGCAGCCGCGGUAAUACGUAGGUGGCAAGCGUUGUCCGGAUUUAUUGGGCGUAAAGCGAGCGCAGGCGGUUUCUUAAGUCUGAUGUGAAAGCCCUCGGCUCAACCGAGGAAGGUCAUUGGAAACUGGGGAACUUGAAUGCAGAAGAGGAGAGUGGAAUUCCAUGUGUAGCGGUGAAAUGCGUAGAUAUAUGGAGGAACACCAGUGGCGAAGGCGACUCUCUGGUCUGUAAUUGACGCUGAGGCUCGAAAGCGUGGGGAGCAAACAGG